AGUGAACGCUGGCGGUAGGCCUAGCACAUGCAAGUCGAACGGCAGCACAGUAAGAGCUUGCUCUUACGCGUGGCGAGUGACGGACGGGUGGGGAAUAAAUCGGAAUGUACUUUUUCGUGGGGGAUGACGUAGGGAAACUUACGCUAAUACCGCAUACGACCUACGUGUGUAAGCAGGGGUUCUUCGGUCAUUGCGCGAUUGACUGCGCUGAGUUAGGAUUAGCUAGUUGGCGGGGUAAAGGCCAACCAAGGCGACGAUCCGUAGCUGGGCUGAGAGGGUGAUCAGCCACACUGGAACUGAGACACGGUCCAGACUCCUACGGGAGGCAGCAGUAGGGAAUAUUGGGCAAUGGGCGCAAGCCUGAUCCAGCCAUACCGCGUGAGUGAAGAAGGCCUUCGGAUUGUAAAGCCCUUUUGUUGGGAAAGAAAGGCAGCAGGUUAAUACCCCGCUGUUCGGACGGUACCCAAAGAAGAAGCACCGGCUAACUUCGUGC
rnacentral:rRNA from 1 species